AGGUCAGCGGGAGACUUGGUGGUCAAGAAGGCUCAGCGGACAGCUUCAAGAGCACGGCCAUUUUGCCCAUCCUGACUUUCAGUUUGGCCUAACAGGAGCCCCCUGGGGACAUAACUUAUGAAACCAUCCCAAGACUCCUCCCUUUCAUGAAGAAGUAUGACAAGAUCUCUGAGCUAAAGGAAAAGAACUGAGGUAGGCAAUGCAAAAUAAAGGCACUUCUGGUGAUUAGU
rnacentral:lncRNA from 1 species